rnacentral:rRNA from 1 species
GAUGAACGCUGGCGGCGUGCUUAACACAUGCAAGUCGAGCGAUGAAGUUUCCUUCGGGAAACGGAUUAGCUGCGGACGGGUGAAUAACACGUGGAUAACCUGCCUCAUAGAGUGGAAUAGCCUUCCGAAAGGAAGAUUAAUACCGCAAAACGUUGAAAGAUGGCAUCACCAUUCAACCAAAGGAGCAAUCCGCGAAGAGAUGGAGCCGCGGCGCAUUAGCUGGCUGGUGGGGUAACGGCCUAGCAAGGCGACGAUGCGUAGCCGACCUGAGAGGGUGAUCGGCCACAAUGGGACUGAGACACGGCCCAGACUCCUACGGGAGGCAGCAGUGGGGAAUAUUGCACAAUGGGGGAAACCCUGAUGCAGCAACGCCGCGUGAGUGAUGAAGGUUUUCGGAUCGUAAAGCUCUGUCUUUGAGGAAGAUUAUGACGGUACCCAAGGAGGAAGCCACGGCUAACUACGUGCCAGCAGCCGCAGUAAAAC